rnacentral:rRNA from 1 species
AGAGUUUGAUCCUGGCUCAGCGCGAACGCUGGCGGCAUGGCUAAAACAUGCAAGUCGAACGCGAACUCACCUUCGGGUGAUAUUAGAGUGGCGAACGGGCGAGUAAUGCGUUUCUAACGUACCCCAAGGUCAGGGAUAGCUCACCGAAAGGUGGGGUAAUACCUGAUAAUCCCAUUUUGACGCAUGUCAUAAUGGGCAAAGGCUUGCUUCCUUGGGAGCGGGGAACGCCCUAUCAGCUUGUUGGUGAGGUAACGGCUCACCAAGGCUUUGACGGGUAGCGGGUGUGAGAGCAUGACCCGCCGCAUCGGGACUGAGACACUGCCCGGACUCCUACGGGAGGCUGCAGUAACGAAUCUUCCGCAAUGCGCGAAAGCGUGACGGAGCAAUGCCGCGUGCAGGAUGAAGCCCCUCGGGGUGUAAACUGCUGUCAGGGUAUAGGAAGAUCUGACCAAACCCAAAGGAAGGGCCGGCUAACUUCGUGCCAGCAGCCGCGGUAAUACGAAGGGCCCGAGCGUUAUUCGGAAUCACUGGGCUUAAAGCGUACGCAGGCGGACCGUCAGGCAUCGUGUGAAAUCCCUCCGCUCAACGGAGGAACUGCACGGUGAACCGUCGGUCUUGAGACAAGUAGGGGCGGUCGGAACGCUAGGUGGAGUGGUGGAAUGCGUUGAUAUCUAGCGGAACGCCGAAGGAGAAAUCAGGCCGCUGGGCUUGUUCUGACGCUGAGGUACGAAAGCGUGGGGAGCGAACGGGAUUAGAUACCCCGGUAGUCCACGCCGUAAACGAUGUGCACUAGGUCGUGGCUGGUCUGACCCAGUCUCGGCCGAAGCGAAAGUGUUAAGUGCACCGCCUGGGGAGUACGGUCGCAAGGCUAAAACUCAAAGGAAUUGACGGGGGCUCACACAAGCGGUGGAGCAUGUGGCUUAAUUCGAAGCAACGCGAAGAACCUUAUCCUGGGUUUGACAUGUAUGGAUUAACUCCGUGAAAGCGAGGCCACGGCCUUCGGGUGAAACUUCCACAGGUGCUGCAUGGCUGUCGUCAGCUCGUGCCGUGAGGUGUUAGGUUAAGUCCUUCAACGAGCGAAACCCUUGCCGUUAGUUGCCAGCGCGUUAUGGCGGGGACUCUAACGGGACCGCCGGCGUCAAGCCGGAGGAAGGUGGGGAUGACGUCAAGUCCUCAUGGCCUUUAUGCCCUGGGCUGCACACGUGCUACAAUGGCGACUACAGAGCGAAGCGAUACCGCAAGGUGGAGCAAAUCGCAAAAAAGUCGCCCCAGUUCGGAUUGGGGUCUGCAACUCGACCCCAUGAAGCCGGAAUCGCUAGUAAUCGCGUAUCAGCUACGACGCGGUGAAUACGUUCCUGAGCCUUGUACACACCGCCCGUCAAGUCAUGGAAGCCGGGAGUACCCGAAGUGGUGUCGACUCAGACAUCCCUACGGUAAGCUCGGUGACUGGGACUAAGUCGUAACAAGGUAACC